rnacentral:tRNA from 1 species
AAGGGAGACCUAAUUCAGGUAGGAGACGAAAAAAAAGUAGUCGCUACCAGGAAUCAAUCCCAAAAGGUCGGAGCGAGGCGAAAUUGGCUUUCAAACUAGGUUCUGGGUUCACACAAGACCUGAAUCAGGAACAAGGGCUAUUAGCUCAGGUGGUUAGAGCGCACCCCUGAUAAGGGUGAGGUCCCUGGUUCGAGUCCAGGAUGGCCCACCUGCACAGGUGGCAAAAACAAAGAAGCGAGGAAUCAGCACCUUAUCUUAUUUAUAUAGUAAGAGAGAAUGCUGGCUCUGAGUAAAGAGUCCAGAGGAACCUUGAAAACUGCAUAGAGCUAGGUGAAAAAGCCAAAAAAGAAGACCGCAA